rnacentral:rRNA from 1 species
UACGUAGGCAGCAAGCGUUGUUCGGAGUUACUGGGCGUAAAGAGUGCGUAGGUGGUGCCCUAAGUCUGUUGUGAAAUCUCCCGGCUUAACUGGGAGGGUGCGGUGGAAACUGGGGUGCUUGAGUGUGGGAGAGGUAAGCGGAAUUCCUGGUGUAGCGGUGAAAUGCGUAGAUAUCAGGAGGAACACCAAUGGCGAAGGCAGCUCGCUGGGACGGUACUGACGCUGAGACGCGAAAGCGUGGGGAGCAAACAGG